GGGCCCGUAGCUCAGCCAGGACAGAGCGCCGGCCUUCUAAGCCGGUGGUCCCGGGUUCAAAUCCCGGCGGGCCCGCCA
rnacentral:tRNA from 3 species